rnacentral:tRNA from 1 species
GCCGGGAUGACGGAAAUGGUAGACGUAGGGGACUUAAAAUCCCCUGGGUAUUUAAAGACCCGUGAGGGUUCAAGUCCCUCUCCCGGCA